AUACAGAGACAUACAGGGUCAUAUGGGGUCCUAUGGGGUCAUACGGGGUCAUACAGGGACACAUAGGGUUCUAUGGGGUCAUACAGGGACACAUAGGGUCAUAUGGGGACAGAUGGGGACAGCAGCGGCUCCACCACGUCCUGCGUGCGGCUGCGGGGGACACGGGGGGACAUAUGGGGUCAGAUCGGGUCCUAUGGGGUCAUAUGGGGUCAGAGAGGGUCCUAUGGGGUCAGAUGGAGUCAUACAGGGACAUAUAGGGUCAUAUGGGGUCCUAUGGGGUCAUAGAGGGACACAGAGAGCAGUGCGGGCGCAGCAGCGGCUCCACCACGUCCUGCGUGUGGCUGUGGGGGACACAGGGGGACAUAUAGGGUCUCUAUGGGGUCGUAUAGGGUCAUAUGGGGUCAUACAGGGACACAUAGGGUCCUAUGGGGUCCUAUG
ensembl:lncRNA